CAUCUUCUAGAAAAUAAGAUGAGGUUACCCAAGAACUAUUUGCGUCAAAUUAGCUAACUAAAUCAAUUCUUUGAGUUACAGGUUUUUCCAACCCCACCUAGAAGGAGGACCAAGGAGUCUCUAUUUUUGAUAAAGACUCCCAGGUGCUUUUUAAUUUUUUUUUUUAAUAUUUGUUUAUUUUUGAGAGAGCAUGAGCUGGGGAGAGGCAGAGAGAGAGAGAGGGAGACACAGAAUCCGAAGCAGGCUCCAGGCUCCGAGCUGUCAGCACAGACCCCGAUGUAGGGCUCGAACCCAAAAACCAUGAGAUCAUGAUUGGAACCAAAGUCGGACACUUAACCGACUGAACCACCCAGGAGUCCCAGGGCUCCCCAGGUGCUUUUGAUGUGCAGGCAAGUUUGAGAAUAACAGCUGUAGACAAUAGACUAAAACUUUAAUGCCUAAACUAUAUAUAUUUUAAAUACCUCAUUUACUUUACAUAAUUUUCCAGAUUGGUGAUAUUCAGACUGGAACCUGCUAUAUGUAAUAUUACACCUUAUUAAAUAGAGUAUAUAGUAAUUGUGCAGCUUUUUACUUCAUGGCCAUUUUCUAGCCCAGUGCCUUUAGAUAGUGAUUAAGUUUGAGAAAUAUAGUAAUAGAAUGUGUAAGUAUGAGAAACGGUGUCCUAAGAGGAGAGGCAGGAUCCAGUCUACCUAAUCCUAGCAGUUUCGUGCUAAGCACUUUUGUUGGCAGUAACGUGUUCUCUUACUAGGGUAUUGUCCUAUGCCUUCUCAGCCGUUGUAUAUUAUUUAUUCAUUUUAGAUUCAUAUAUAGGCAGAUGUAUUUUGAGUUCAUCUUUAGGUACACAUUUUUACAGAAAACUGACAAUGCAACUAUGUUUUUAUGGAAUUAAUGCAAAUUUAUUUUCCAUUUCGUAGCUUCUAGUUCUAUUCUUCCUCUUCUACCUUUUAGGAACUCUUAGAACUUAAAAUUCCUUAAGUGCCAUGAAUGUCAGUUCAGGAAGAGAUCAGGAAUAUCAAUUCAGGAAGAGAGGCAUUGUGAUCUAAUAGAAUACAGAGCUUUGGAGCAAACCUGAGUUUGAAUUCCAGCUCUGUGCUCAAUUUUAGGUUAAGGUGUUUUCUAAUCUGUAAAACUAGGAUAAUAAUAGUUAUUUCAUGUUACAUAUAAGACUAUAUGAUGGCUCCGGUACCUAGUAGUCGUUCUCUGAAAGUAAAUUCCCUCCUGCCCAUAUCUUUUAUAAGAUCACUGAUUGAUAUUGAGAUCUACCAUGACAUUUUAAUGUUUAUUCAUUUUAGAGAGAGUGGGGGAGCGGCAGAGACAGAGGGAGACAGAAUCCAAAGCAGGCUCCAGGCUCUGAGCUGUCAGCAUAGAGCCCGAUGCAGGGCUCAAAUUUAGGAACGGCAAGAUCAUGAUCCAAGCCGCAGUUGGACACACAACCAGCUGAGCCACCCAGGCGCCCCUAGCAUGACAUUGUUGAAUGUGGUUAUUUUUUUAAAUUUCUCUCAUAUCUUCAUUUACUUUCAAAAAUUAGUUUCAGCUUUGUGCUGUAGCAGUAUCGCAGCUAAUGGGGUUUAUCCGAGUCACAAUUACUGCUAAGUCAAAAAUUAGUCUUCAAUAUUUAUAGCUUUAUCUAAAGAACUUGGUUUUUGGCAUAAUAGUAUAAUUAUAUUUGAGUAUUGUAAGAGGUCCUAAAAGAUUUUUUUUGGUCUUAAAAAGAUUUUACACGUGUAAAAGUUUUAAGUUAACAGUAGGAGGAUCCAAAUACUCAGCUUUUACAGGUGGAAUUUUUUAUACUCUCCAUUUCUCUGCACUGUACCAUAUCAGAUCACUAGUGGAACUAGAAAAAAAGUUAAUAAGUUGAUUUUAGUGCAAUGCAAUUUUUAAACUUUUUUUUUUUUUUUUUUUUUUUAGUUUAUUUAUUUUUGAGAGAGAGAGUGUGAGCGGGCAAGGGGUAGAAAGAGAGAGGGAGACAGAGAAUCCGAAGCAGGUUCCAGGCUCUGAGCUGUCCCCACAGACCCCGACUCAGGACUUGAAUUCAUGAACUGUGAGAUUAUGACCUGAGCCGAAGUCAGACCUUUAACCGACUGAACCACCCAGGCACCGCAUAGUGCGAUGCAAUUUUUGUAUUAACCAUUGUCACCUAUAUAAUCGUCGAGUAGAUUUUAAGUUGUAUACUGCAUUCUGAUGCUGAGCAAAUUUGAAGAGGCUUAUUAUGCUUUUAACAUUUACUAAAUUCAGGAUUAGCUCUCUGUUUCAGAUGCAAUUAAAAAAAAUUUUUUUAAUGUAUUUACUUUGGGAGAGAGACAGAGGGUGUGUGCACGAGUGGGAGAGGGGCAGAGAGAGAGGGAGAGAGAGGAUGCAAGCAGGCCCUGAGGUGUCCGCACAGAGCCCAAAGUGGGGCUCGACCACACCAACAGUGAGAUCAUGACCUGAGCUGAAAUGGAGUCAGAAGCUUAACCGGCUGAGCCACCCAUGUGCCCCAAAAUGCAAUUUUUCAAGAUAUUUCAAAGGCAGUUAUAUUUCUGCUCAUUCUUCUUUUUUGUUGUUGUUUGGGUUUUUUUUAGCAUUCAUGAUGAACGUAAUUCAGAUUGUUCGUGACCACUGGGUACAUAUACUUGUGCCUGUGGGAUUUGUCCUUGGAUGUUAUCUAGACAAAAAGAACGAUGAAAAGCUAACUGCCUUCCGGAACAAGAGUUUGUUGUUUAAAAGGUUAGUUUGUACGUUUGUUUUAAACCAACAAUUGGCCAGCUUUUGGUAAUACUCUUUUUAAUACCAUGUGUGCCAAAAAUAAGCAGAAAGGGUAAAUUUUCCCUCAAGAACUUAUAUUCAAAUGCUAUCAUUUUGUAGUAUUAUUUGUCGCUUAAUCUUUGGAUAAAACUGAGUGAUUACCUUUCGAAUAACAGAUCUUCAGUUUAUGAACAGGGUAUUUCCGAUGUUUGAUUUUUUUUUUUUUUUUUUUUGGCAUUCAGGGUACAUUUGUAAUAUAGAAACGAAGUUUUAAACUAGCUCACCAAAGCCUACUUUAAUGUGGCUUUCACAUACAUUAUCAGACAGCAUUUUACAUAAACCAGAAUGUAGCUGAAAUAUAGGAUACCAAUAGUGGCUCAGUGCUGUGUUUGCAGCAACACUGCUGGAGAGCUCUAGACAUGGUGGCCAAGUGAUCAGAAGGCAGCUGACUGCUGCCUGGUCCCGUUGUGUCUCUGGAGAUGGCUUUUUUGGCAGCAGAGAGGUAGUUAGCAAGGCAGGGUGCCUGCCACUGGGUGUCACCUAGGUGGGAAGAAGCUCCGGGGACCAGAGGCUUGAGCAGCAUUCACAGUCCCUAUGUAGAGGGGGUCUAUGGUUAGGGAUUUCAAGAACGAUCACAUACAUGAAUUAGAAAGGGUUUAGAAAACCUCAAGUGAACAGAGGAUAAAAGCUUUCAUACAGACUAAGAAAUCACGGUUCCUAAAUCUAGAAAAAUGAAAUUGAAGGGCUGGUAAAAGUUUAAAAUCAUGAGAGAACAGAAUGGCUCUGUUGAGUCUACAUAAAAACUUUAAUGGGUCAAUUUAAUAGAAUAUAAAAUAUUGAACUCAUACUCUUCUUUUUCUCCCCCAUGAAAGUUUAAUUUAUACCUUUUCCUUUCCUUCCUUUCUAAUUUCCACACAGGGAAUUGAGACCCAAUGAAGAAGUCACCUGGAAGUAAAGGCUGUGACUGAAAUACAGAAUGUUCACAUUUUAAAAAUUGGGAGAGAAAUAAAAACACAUUCAUUAUUUAAUUUAAA
rnacentral:lncRNA from 1 species